UACGUAGGGUGCAAGCGUUGUCCGGAAUUAUUGGGCGUAAAGAGCUCGUAGGCGGCUUGUCACGUCGACUGUGAAAACACGGGGCUUAACCCCGUGCCUGCUUCCGAUACGGGCAGACUAGAGGUAUGCAGGGGAGAACGGAAUUCCUGGUGUAGCGGUGAAAUGCGCAGAUAUCAGGAGGAACACCGGUGGCGAAGGCGGUUCUCUGGGCAUUACCUGACGCUGAGGAGCGAAAGUGUGGGGAGCGAACAGG
rnacentral:rRNA from 1 species